AUGAACACUACUUUUUCUCUCUUGCUUAGACAACACGGAGGAAUCCUCUUCGAUCUGGUUCACCACAACAGCGUCACUAUGACAAAUCCGACUGCCACACAACAUCGCUUCGACCUCAUCCUUCAAACCAUCGGAUUUGUCUCAUCCUCAGUUCAAGCAGUGAUGAUGAAGAUUCGUAGCUCAAAAUGUUAA